UGCUCCACGCGGGAAUCGAACCCGGGUCGUAGUGGUCGAAAACUAACGAUUUAGACCAUUCUUCCACUGACC